rnacentral:rRNA from 1 species
GAUGAACGCUGACAGAAUGCUUAACACAUGCAAGUCAACUUGAACUUCGGUUUGGGUGGCGGACGGGCGAGUAACGCGUAAAGAACUUGCCUCACAGAAAGGGACAACAUUUGGAAACGAAUGCUAAUACCUGAUAUUAUGAUUAUAUGGCAUCGCUUAAUUAUGAAAGCUAUAUGCGCUGUGGGAGAGCUUUGCGUCCCAUUAGCUAGUUGGAGAGGUAACGGCUCACCAAGGCGAUGAUGGGUAGCCGGCCUGAGAGGGUGAUCGGCCACAAGGGGACUGAGACACGGCCCUUACUCCUACGGGAGGCAGCAGUGGGGAAUAUUGGACAAUGGACCAAGAGUCUGAUCCAGCAAUUCUGUGUGCACGAUGAAGUUUUUCGGAAUGUAAAGUGCUUUCAGUUGGGAAGAAAAAAAUGACGGUACCAACAGAAGAAGUGACGGCUAAAUACGUG